ACCAACACCCUAGCAUAUGAUAGUCUAGCCAUGGAAGCAGUUAGCAUAUCACUUUGAAUAGGCUUGCUGACACUGGCAAUUUUAGAAAGACAUUUGAUGGACCAACAUUUUAGUGGGAGAUUGGGAAAUUUAACCCAAAUUGAAACAGUAUGCAUAUCAGAAGAAGAGAAAUCAAAAUAUUCCAGUAUGGCUUUGAGAAUAAAAGGUCUGCCAUAUACAAUUUGUCAGUUUCAUUGGCAAAUUUAAAGAUCAGCCAUCCAGAUUCGUGAAUAGUCAAGGAUGCUUCACAACGCCAGGUAUUAACAAUAAGACUCUACAAGGCUUUAUAGCCAGGGGAAUGGCCAACAAUAUAACCAACCAGACUCAUCUUCCACAAGUCACAUUUAGAGUCAAGAUCACCGUCAACCAAAUCGCAACCUUUAGUUUCAGUAAAAACAGAAUAAUGAAUGAGUUUGGGACAACUCACAAUGUUACGAUUGGUAACGAAGAGAUUAUGCCAAGGAUUAAUAGGAGAAUCGGAGGAUUAAGGAGCUCCUCUAGCUACAUUAUCCAAAGGUAUAGGGGUGAAAGACUAAUCGAACCGUCUAGUAGCUGGUUCCCUCCGAAGUUUCCCUCAAGAUAGUUGGAGCUCAGUGUGAGUUCUAUUAGGUAAAGCCAAUGAUUAGAGGCAUCGGGGGCGCAAUGCCCUCGACCUAUUCUCAAACUUUAAAUAGGUAGGACAGUGCGGCUGCUUCGUUAAGCUGCACCAUGGAAUUGAGAGCUCCAAGUGGACCAUUUUUGGUAAGGAGAACUGGCGAUGCGGGAUGAACCGGAAGCCGGGUUAUGGUGCCCAACUGCACGCUAACCUAGAACCCAUAAAGGGUGUUGGUCGAUUAAGAUAGCAGGACUGUGGUCAUGGAAGUCAAGAUCCGCUAAGGAGUGUGUAACAACUCACCUACCGAAUCAACUAGCCCCUAAAAUGGAUGGCACUGAAAUGCACGACCUAUACCCGAUCGUUGAGGCAAACACCAGGCCCCGAUGAGUAGGAGGGCACGACGGUUGUCGCAGAACCUGGGGCGCGAGCUUGGGCAGAGUGGCCGUCGGUGUAGAUCUUGGUGGUAGUAGCAAACAUUCAAAUGAGAACUUUAAAGGCCGAAGAGGGGAAAGGUUCCAUGUGAACGACACUUGUACAUGGGUGAGUCGAUCCUAAGAGACAGGGGAAGCCCGUCCAACAGCCUGUUCGCGCACGAGCUUCGAAAGGGAAUCAGGUUAAAAUUCUUGAACCGGGACGUGACGACUAACAACAAUGUUAGGAAGUCCAAAGAUGUCAGCAGGGGCCUCGAGAAGAGUUAUCUUUUCUGUUUAACAGCCCGCCCACCUUGGAAACGACUUAGUCGGAGGUAGGGUCCAGCAGCUGGAAGACCACCACACAUCGUGUGGUGUUUGGUGCGCCCCCGAUGGCCCUUGAAAAUCCGAAGGACCGAGUGCCUCCCACUCCCGGUCAUACUCAUAACCGCAUCAGGUCUCCAAGGUGAACAACCUCUGGUCGAUGGAACAAUGUAGCCAAGGGAAGUCAGCAAAAUGGAUUCGUAACCUCGGGAAAAGGAUUGGCUCUGAGGGUUGGGCUUAGGGGACCAAUCCCGAACCCGUCGGCUGUCAGUGGACUGCUUGAGCUGCUCCCGUGGUGAGAGCGGGUCGUCGCGUGCCAGCUAGGGGACGGACUAGGAACAGCCCCUCUAGGGGCCUUCCCCGAGCAUCGAAUAGUCGACUCAGAACUGGUACGGACAAGGGGAAUCUGACUGUUUAAUCAGCGCUCUGAAUGUUAAAGUGAAGAAAUUCAACCAAGCGCGGGUAAACGACGGGAGUAACUAUGACUUUCUUAAGGUAGCCAAAUGCUUCGUCAUCUAAUUAGUGACGUACAUGAAUGGAUUAACAAGAUUCCCACUGUCCCUAUCUACUAUCCAGCGAAACCACAGCCAAGGGAACGAGCUUGGCGGAAUCAGCGAGGAAAGAAGACCCUAUUGAGCUUGACUUGAGAGGUGUAGGAUAAGUGGGAGCUUUGGCGAAGGUGAAAUACCACUACUUUUAAUAUUAUUUUACUUAUUCCAUGAAUCGGAGGCGGGGCGCUGCCCCUCUUUUUGGACCCAAGGUCGCUCCGGCAGCCGAUCCGAGUGGAAGACAUUAUCAUGUGGGGAGUUUGGCUGGGGUGGCACAUCUAUUAAAAGAUAACGCAAGUGUCCUAAGAUAAGCUCAAUGAGAACAGAAAUCUCGUGUGGAACAAAAGGGUAAAAACUCGUUUAAUUUUGAUAUCCAGUACGAAUACGAACUGUGAAAGCAUGGCCUAUCGAUCCUUUAGACCUUCAGAAUUUGAAGCUAGAGGUGUCAGAAAAGUUACCACAAGGAUAACUGGCUUGUGGCAACCAAACGUUCAUAGCGAUGUUGCUUUUUAAUCCUUCGAUGUCGGCUAUUCCUAUCAUUGUGAAGCAGAAUUCACCAAGUGUUGGAUUGUUCACCCACCAAUAGGGAAUGUGAGCUGGGUUUAAACCGUCGUGAGAUAGGUUAGUUUUACCCUACUGAUGACAGUGUCGCAAUAAUAAUCCAACCUAGUACGAGAGGAACCGUUGAUUCACACAAUUGGUAAUCGUGCUUGGUUGAAAAGCCAGCGGCACAAAGCUACCAUGCGUUAGAUUAUGACUGAACGCCUCUAAGUCAGAAUCCAGGCUAGAUGCGACGCAUGCGCUCGCUGUCUGAUUGCCGACCUAUAGUAGGGGCCUCUCGGCCCUGGAGGCACGUGCCGUUGGCCAAGCCUUAGUAGUGAAAGAGCUGCGUGGGCCGCCUUGAAGUACAAUUCCCACCAAGCGGC
rnacentral:rRNA from 1 species